UACAGAGGGUGCAAGCGUUGUCCGGAAUCACUGGGCGUAAAGGGCGCGUAGGCGGCUUGGUAAGUAGGGGGUGAAAUCUCAUGGCUCAACUGUGAGGCUGCCUUCUAGACUGCCAGGCUUGAGCACAGUAGAGGCUGGUGGAAUUCCCGGUGUAGCGGUGGAAUGCGUAGAGAUCGGGAAGAACAUCUGUGGCGAAGGCGGCCAGCUGGGCUGUUGCUGACGCUGAUGCGCGACAGCGUGGGGAGCAAACAGGA
rnacentral:rRNA from 1 species